rnacentral:rRNA from 1 species
AUGAGAAGUGAUCAAGUUCCUGUCCGUGAAAUCUCAACCUUUGAAAUUUUCUUCAGCUUCGCGGUUGUGCUACAAGAACAGAAAGGCGACAACAUGCAAAUAUCCAGAAGAAGAAAUGGUUGCAGAGUCUCUCUCUCUCCACGGAAUGCCUCCCAGAUAAAAUUCCUCCAUGGUCCAAGCACUGAUGCAUCUGAAGUUCACGAGAGAGCAGAGGAGCGGUGUUCGCUGCAGCUUGUUGCAGCCACACAUAUGGGUAGAAGGCGGACCUGCACAACCGGCACAUGGAGUUCAACAAUGGUGUGGCUGCUUGAAAGUGCGCUGGAGAGGGACUACCGAUGUUGA